UGGGUUCUUCCUUAAGGUAACAAUCCUUUUAAAUUCAACUUGGUCUUUGCUUUUGUGUGCUUUGGACUUGAAUAAUGUAUUGAGAACGGUUCAAUUAAAAUAGUUUUCUUUUUCUUUUCCUUCUGCGCAUCUUGGAGUGCUAACUUGAGCCUAUUCGAUUCAAAUGAGUCAUGCUUUUCUUAAUAUUUUUCCCUUAUAUUAAAGCCCUAUUUAUUUCACUGAGUCUUUUAUCUGCUUUGUUUCCAGUUUAAUCAUCAAAGCAAUGUUGUUUCCGUGGUGGUGUCUUAUAGAAAGCUUUAUUUCACUG
rnacentral:misc_RNA from 1 species